GGGAGCUUAGAUGUGGAAGCUCUUUGGAAACCAAGAAACACUCUGAAAAUGAAAAGGAUACCAACUUCAUCUCUCUUUAAGAAUACAAUAUUAGUUUAAAAGAUUGUUCAACUUAAAGCAAUCUUGUAGAGAUUGUCACCCAUGAUUGAUGCUGGGUGGAAGAGUAAACUGUUCCUGUUUCUCCAUCUUGACAGGAAGCAGAAGUUCUCCUUAGCUGAUUUUUCUUCUUGCCUUAUACUGGGUUCUUUAACACCAGAACAAAAAUAAAUAAAUAAAAGAAUCUUCCAGAAAUUCAUGAAGAGACUUCAGGUCAGGAAAGCCUGAACUUUCUCAUCCAACACCCGUUCAAGUCGGAGGAUGCUGAUUAAUUCAUGAUGGAAAGGUAUCAAUUUCACAGCCCAGACCUCUACAUUCUUGAAAUGCUCUUCUCAUGGGAGACAUUAAAUAAGCUUUGAAUUAACUGUCAGACGUUUGCUGAAUUCAGUUCUGAGCUUUUGAACCAAAAGCAGAUCUUCAGAACAAGAAACAAGAUAAUAAA
rnacentral:lncRNA from 10 species